CAGUAGCCACGGUAAUACAGAGGUCCCAAGCGUUGUUCGGAUUCACUGGGCGUAAAGGGUGCGUAGGCGGUUGGGUAAGUUUGACGUGAAAUCUCCGGGCCUAACCCGGAAACUGCGUUGAAUACUAUCCAGCUAGAGGAUUGGAAGGGAGACUGGAAUACUUGGUGUAGCAGUGAAAUGCGUAGAUAUCAAGUGGAACACCAGUGGCGAAGGCGAGUCUCUGGACAAUUCCUGACGCUGAGGCACGAAAGCCAGGGGAGCAAACGGGAUUAGAUACCCCGGUAGUCCCUGUCUCUUAUAC
rnacentral:rRNA from 1 species